UGACCUCAAAUCAGGUAGGACUACCCGCUGAACUUAAGCAUAUCAAUAAGCGGAGGAAAAGAAACUAACAAGGAUUCCCCUAGUAACUGCGAGUGAAGCGGGAAAAGCUCAAAUUUAAAAUCUGGCGGUCUUUUGGCUGUCCGAGUUGUAAUCUAGAGAAGUGUUAUCCGCGCUGGACCGUGUACAAGUCUCCUGGAAUGGAGCAUCAUAGAGGGUGAGAAUCCCGUCUUUGACAUGGGCUGCCAGGGCUUUGUGAUGCGCUCUCAAAGAGUCGAGUUGUUUGGGAAUGCAGCUCAAAAUGGGUGGUAAAUUCCAUCUAAAGCUAAAUAUUGGCGAGAGACCGAUAGCGAACAAGUACCGUGAGGGAAAGAUGAAAAGAACUUUGGAAAGAGAGUUAAACAGUACGUGAAAUUGCUGAAAGGGAAACGCUUGAAGUCAGUCGCGUCGUCCAGGGAUCAGCCUUGCUUUUGCUUGGUGCACUUUCUGGUUUGACGGGUCAGCAUCAAUUUUGACUAUUGGAAAAAGGCUGAGGGAAUGUGGCAUCUUUGGAUGUGUUAUAGCCCUUGGUCACAUGCAAUGGUUGGGAUUGAGGAACUCAGCACGCCGCAAGGCCGGGUUUUUAAACCACGUACGUGCUUAGGAUG
rnacentral:rRNA from 1 species